rnacentral:ncRNA from 1 species
UAAGGUAGAGGAGCGAACAACAAAAGUAAGUUAGUAGAGCUAGACAAAGCAUUGAAACUAAAUGAAAGGGAAGUUUGCCGAAAUAAAAGUUAUGUCAAAAACUUUUAUUGGGUAUAUAGAUAAUAUCUAUAUAACUGUCAUUAGUAUAUCUAAUGUUGUGCUAUCCG